UACGGAGGGUGCAAGCGUUAAUCGGAAUUACUGGGCGUAAAGCGCACGCAGGUGGCUGAGUCAGUCGAUUGUGAAAGCCCUGGGCUUAACCUAGGAAUUGCAGUCGAUACUACUCAGCUAGAGUAUGGGAGAGGGCAGUGGAAUUCCCGGUGUAGCGGUGAAAUGCGUAGAUAUCAGAAGGAACAUCAGUGGCGAAGGCGGCUUCCUGGACCAAUACUGACGAUCAGGUGCGAAAGCGUGGGGAGCAAACAGG
rnacentral:rRNA from 1 species